CCACCUCCUCUCUCUCUCUCUAUCCGAAUUCAGAGAGAACGACAGGAACAUCAAAGCGAGUCAGGCCUUCGUCAGUAUACUUUUAACCCUUUUUUUCUGUGCUCCAGCGUCUGCGGCGACCAAGAGUUCGAAGUGGAAAGGAGAGGUAAAGAGGACGAGAGAGGAAGGCUGCACAUCAGAGAGGGGAAAGCGAAGAGGCGGUGGUGGCAGUUCCAGCAUGUGCGGCCGCCAGGUCUCUAACCCCAAUAGUCUCGGCGUCUCUGUUAGUGUGAAGUGUACCAGUAGUGCUCCUCUACCAGGCUGACACCGCGAACCCAAAAUGACAGAAUCGAGGCUUGUUGUAAGGACCCUGAGUUGGAGGCACGGAGUUUAUAGAGACCGCGAGAAUCCUUGGUGGGAAGUGAACAAAGUCAGCACGACUCAGGAGAUACUCGAUCCGUCCUCCCUGCGCACGAAGGCGUGGGUGUGGAACG